GUCUAUGGCCAUAGCACUCUGAACGCACCCAAUCUCGUCUGAUCUCGGAAGCAAAGCAGGGUCGGGCCUGGUUAGUACUUGGAUGGGAGAUUGGUUAUGAAAAGGUCCAACUAUUAUAUGCA
rfam:Equus caballus chromosome 15, whole genome shotgun sequence.